ensembl:snoRNA
UAUCCCUGACCUGAGUAGAGUGGCUUCUGGUUGGUGGUGCCACCUCAUAUCAGCCAGGGACAAAACAACCGCUUGUUUAUCACAGCUUGGCUUUUGGUGUGUGCUUAUGUCUGGUUCAAGCCUUUAACACAUGG